AUUGAACGCUGGCGGCAGGCCUAACACAUGCAAGUCGAGCGAGCGGCGGACGGGUGAGGAAUGUCUGGGAAACUGCCUGAUGGAGGGGGAUAACUACUGGAAACGGUAGCUAAUACCGCAUACUAUUAGAUGUGCCCAGAUUGGCUUGGCUAGUAGGUGGGGUAACGUCCCACCUAGGCGACGAGCGCUAGCUGGUCUGAGAGGAUGACCAGCCACCCUGCAACGGAGACACGGUCCAGACUCCUACGUGAGGCAUCAGUGGGGAAUAUUGCACAAUGGGCGCAAGCCUGAUGCAGCCAUGCCGCGUGUGUGAAGAAGGCCUUCGGGUUGUAAAGCACUUUCAGCGGGGAGGCGUUACCCGCAGAAGAAGCACCGGCUAACUCCGUGCCAGCCGCCGCGGUAAUAC
rnacentral:rRNA from 1 species